rnacentral:rRNA from 1 species
GUCCACGCUGUAAACUAUGGAAACUAGGUAUGGGGAGUAUCGACCCUUUCCGUGCCGAAGCUAACGCUUUAAGUUUCCCGCCUGGGGACUACGGUCGCAAGACUAAAACUCAAAGGAAUUGACGGGGGCCCGCACAAGCAGCGGAGCGUGUGGUUUAAUUCGAUGCAACGCGAAGAACCUUACCAGGGCUUGACAUGUUGGAAGUAGUGAACCGAAAGGGGAACGACCUGUCAAGUCAGGAGCCUUCACAGGUGCUGCAUGGUUGUCGU